CCUACGGGGGGCAGCAGUGAGGAAUAUUGGUCAAUGGACGAGAGUCUGAACCAGCCAAGUAGCGUGAAGGAUGAAUGUCCAAAGGGUUGUAAACUUCUUUUAUCUGGGAAUAAAACAGGGUAUGCAUACCCUCUUGUGUGUACCAUAUGAAUAAGGAUCGGCUAACUCCGUGCCAGCAGCCGCGGUAAUACGGAGGAUCCGAGCGUUAUCCGGAUUUAUUGGGUUUAAAGGGAGCCUAGGUGGUUUGUUCAGUCAGUUGUGAAAGUUUACGGCUCAACCGUAAAAGUGCAGUUGAAACGGGCAGUCUUGAGUACAGGAGAGGUGGGCGGAAUUCGGGGUGUAGCGGUGAAAUGCUUAGAUAUCACGAAGAACUCCGAUUGCGAAGGCAGCUCGCUGGACUGCAACUGACACUGAUGCUCGAAAGUGUGGGUAUCAAACAGGAUUAGAUACCCUUGUAGUC
rnacentral:rRNA from 1 species